rnacentral:rRNA from 1 species
CCUACGGGAGGCAGCAGUGGGGAAUAUUGGGCAAUGGGCGCAAGCCUGACCCAGCAACGCCGCGUGAAGGAAGAAGGCUUUCGGGUUGUAAACUUCUUUUAAGAGGGAAGAGCAGAAGACGGUACCUCUUGAAUAAGCCACGGCUAACUACGUGCCAGCAGCCGCGGUAAUACGUAGGUGGCAAGCGUUGUCCGGAUUUACUGGGUGUAAAGGGCGUGUAGCCGGGCUGACAAGUCAGAUGUGAAAUCCCGUGGCGCAACCACGGAACUGCAUUUGAAACUGUCGGUCUUGAGUAUCGGAGAGGCGGGGGAAAUGCGGGGUGUAGCGGUGAAAUGCGGAGAUAGUAGGGGGAAC